rnacentral:rRNA from 1 species
AUUGAACGCUGGCGGCAUGCCUUACACAUGCAAGUCGAACGGUAACGCGGGGCAACCUGGCGACGAGUGGCGAACGGGUGAGUAAUGCAUCGGAACGUGCCCGGUAGUGGGGGAUAACUGCUCGAAAGAGCAGCUAAUACCGCAUACGACCUGAGGGUGAAAGGGGGGGAUCGCAAGACCUCUCGCUAUCGGAGCGGCCGAUGUCGGAUUAGCUAGUUGGUGGGGUUAAAGCCCACCAAGGCAACGAUCCGUGGCUGGUCUGAGAGGACGACCAGCCACACUGGGACUGAGACACGGCCCAGACUCCUACGGGAGGCAGCAGUGGGGAAUUUUGGACAAUGGACGCAAGUCUGAUCCAGCCAUGCCGCGUGCGGGAAGAAGGCCUUCGGGUUGUAAACCGCUUUUGUCAGGGAAGAAAUCUUCUGAGUUAAUACCUCGGGAGGAUGACGGUACCUGAAGAAUAAGCACCGGCUAACUACGUGCCAGCAGCCGCCGUAAUAC